rnacentral:rRNA from 1 species
AUUGAACGCUGGCGGCAGGCCUAACACAUGCAAGUCGAACGGUAACAGGAAGCAGCUUGCUGCUUUGCUGACGAGUGGCGGACGGGUGAGUAAUGUCUGGGAAACUGCCCGAUGGAGGGGGAUAACUACUGGAAACGGUAGCUAAUACCGCAUAACGUCGCAAGACCAAAGAGGGGGACCUUAGGGCCUCUUGCCAUCGUAUGUGCCCAGAUGGGAUUAGCUAGUAGGUGGGGUAACGUCUCACCUAGGCGACGAUCCCUAGCUGGUCUGAGAGGAUGACCAGCCACACUGGAACUGAGACACGGUCCAGACUCCUACGGGAGGCAGCAGUGGGGAAUAUUGCACAAUGGGCGCAAGCCUGAUGCAGCCAUGCGGCGUGUAUGAAGAAGGCCUUCGGGUUGUAAAGUACUUUCAGCGGGGAGGAAGGGAGUAAAGUUAAUACCUUUGCUCAUUGACGUUACCCGCAGAAGAAGCACCGGCUAACUACGUG